GUUGUGCCCUUGAGGCGUGGCUUCCGGAGCUAACGCGUUAAAUCGACCGCCUGGGGAGUACGGCCGCAAGGUUAAAACUCAAAUGAAUUGACGGGGGCCCGCACAAGCGGUGGAGCAUGUGGUUUAAUUCGAUGCAACGCGAAGAACCUUACCUGGUCUUGACAUCCACAGAACUUUCCAGAGAUGGAUUGGUGCCUUCGGGAACUGUGAGACAGGUGCUGCAUGGCUGUCGUCAGCUCGUGUUGUGAAAUGUUGGGUUAAGUCCCGCAACGAGCGCAACCC
rnacentral:rRNA from 2 species